rnacentral:lncRNA from 1 species
CGUGGGGUUUCUUCGUGGCGCAGUCAUCCUUUUGGGGAACGUGUGUCCGGCUUUCUCAGAGGGUUUUUCUGGGGACAGCCCCUGCUGUGCCCUUCUCCAUUCGAAUUCUCUGGCCUUGGGCAGGACACAGCGUCUGCAUUUGGCAAAGUCCCGGGACCUUUCUGUCUCAGCCACCUUAAACUCCCUGGGCUUUCCAGCCUCGUUUCCCCUUUCAGCAAACAUAGACUUGGUUACCUGUGUUCUGUGGACUCUUGGCAUAUUCAAGGGUGUACAGGCUCUUCCAGCCCAACGAAACGAUCUGCCCUCUUUCCCAACACCCGUCUCCCCAGCCCUCCCCCUAGAUUAAAAGCAGAAAUAAAGACAAGGUCUCUAAAUACAAAAUAAUACUUUUUAUUUUUUCCGCCCUAUAGCUAGAGCUCAGAGAACUUCCUUCUGGUUUCAUGAGGUUUGUUUGCUGUAAGUAAAAUGCCGCGUUGUAGAUUUAAAAAAAAAAAAAAAAA